UACGGGGGGGGUAAGCGUUGUUCGGAAUUACUGGGCGUAAAGGGCUCGUAGGCGGCCAACUAAGUCAUACGUGAAAUCCCUCAGCUUAACUGGGGAACUGCGUGUGAUACUGGAUGGCUUGGAUUUGGGAGAGGGAUGCGGAAUUCCAGGUGUAGCGGUGAAAUGCGUAGAUAUCUGGAGGAACACCGGUGGCGAAGGCGGCAUCCUGGACCAAUAUUGACGCUGAGGAGCGAAAGCUAGGGAGCAACGGG
rnacentral:rRNA from 1 species